rnacentral:tRNA from 1 species
AGAACGGUCCCGUUUGUUGGUAUGACGGGUUGAGCUGUAAACUCAAUAGCUAUUAGCUGUCGAAGGUUCGAUUCCUUCCCUUUCUA